rnacentral:rRNA from 1 species
GCAACGCUGGCGGCAGGCUAUACAUGCGAUUAGAACGGAUCCUUCGGGAUCAGUGGCGGACGGGUGAGUAACACGUGGGAACGUGCCCUUUGGUUCGGAACAACUCAGGGAAACUUGAGCUAAUACCGGAUGUGCCCUUCGGGGGAAAGAUUUAUCGCCAUUGGAGCGGCCCGCGUCUGAUUAGCUAGUUGGUGGGGUAAAGGCCCACCAAGGCGACGAUCAGUAGCUGGUCUGAGAGGAUGAUCAGCCACAUUGGGACUGAGACACGGCCCAAACUCCUACGGGAGGCAGCAGUGGGGAAUCUUGCGCAAUGGGCGAAAGCCUGACGCAGCCAUGCCGCGUGAAUGAUGAAGGUCUUAGGAUUGUAAAAUUCUUUCACCGGGGACGAUAAUGACGGUACCCGGAGAAGAAGCCCCGGCUAACUUCGUGCCAGCAGCCGCGGUAAUACGAAGGGGGCUAGCGUUGCUCGGAAUUACUGGGCGUAAAGGGAGCGUAGGCGGACUGUUAAGUUAGAGGUGAAAGACCCAGGGCUCAAACCUUGUGAAUUGCCUUUUGAUACCUAGGCAGCUCUUGGAGUACGGAAAGAGGUACUGUGGGAACUCCGGAGUGUAGAGGUGAAAUUCGGAGAUAUUCGGAAGAACAC